GACGAACGCUGGCGGCGUGCCUAAUACAUGCAAGUUGAGCGAUGAAGAUUGGUGCUUGCACCAAUUUGAAGAGCAGCGAACGGGUGAGUAACGCGUGGGGAAUCUGCCUUUGAGCGGGGGACAACAUUUGGAAACGAAUGCUAAUACCGCAUAAUAACUUUAAACAUAAGUUUUAAGUUUGAAAGAUGCAAUUGCAUCACUCAAAGAUGAUCCCGCGUUGUAUUAGCUAGUUGGUGAGGUAAAGGCUCACCAAGGCGAUGAUACAUAGCCGACCUGAGAGGGUGAUAGGCCACAUUGGGACUGAGACACGGCCCAAACUCCUACGGGAGGCAGCAGUAGGGAAUCUUCGGCAAUGGACGAAAGUCUGACCGAGCAACGCCGCGUGAGGGAAGAAGGGUUUCGGAUCGUAAAACUCUGUUGGUAGAGAAGAACGUUGGUGAGAGUGGAAAGCUCAUCAAGUGACGGUAACUACCCAGAAAGGGACGGCUAACUACGUG
rnacentral:rRNA from 1 species